rnacentral:rRNA from 1 species
CGUAGGUGGCAAGCGUUGUCCGGAUUUAUUGGGCGUAAAGCGAACGCAGGCGGGAGAACAAGUCAGCUGUGAAAGCCCUCGGCUUAACCGAGGAACGGCAACUGAAACUGUUUUUCUUGAGUGCAGAAGAGGAGAGUGGAACUCCAUGUGUAGCGGUGAAAUGCGUAGAUAUAUGGAAGAACACCAGUGGCGAAGGCGGCUCUCUGGUCUGUAACUGACGCUGAGGUUCGAAAGCAUGGGUAGCGAACAGGAUU